UACGUAGGGUGCAAGCGUUGUUCGGAAUCACUGGGCGUAAAGGGAGCGUAGGCGGAAGAGUAAGUUAGGAGUGAAAUGUACCGGCUUAACUGGUAACCUGCUUUUAAUACUGCUUUUCUUGAGUAUGGGAGAGGAUGAUGGAAUUCCAGGUGUAGCGGUGGAAUGCGUAGAUAUCUGGAAGAACACCAGUUGCGAAGGCGGUCAUCUGGACCAAUACUGACGCUGAGGCUCGAAAGCUAGGGGAGCAAACAGG
rnacentral:rRNA from 1 species